UUUGGGCUGCUAAUGAAGGUAAACCAGAUGAAGUUCAAUAAAGACAAUGCAAAGUGCUCCACUUAGAGGAACAUUCAGUUUCACAUAUACAGAAGGGGAAGAGCUGCUAGGAAGGAGUAUGGCAGAAGAGAUCUAGGGGUCAUAGUGGAACCAAAGCUAAAUAUGAG